AUUAAUAAACUAUAAUAAAUAAAUACUAAUAUUUUAUAUCAAUUAAAUUAUAAUUAUUUUUUAUUAAUAUUUUAAUAUUAUUUAAUGAAAUAUAUAAAUAAAGUAUUAUAAAUUUAAUAAUAAAUAAGAAAUGAAGAGAAUCGAACUCUUAAUAAUUAAAUUUGCAAUUUAAUAGUUUAACCAUUAAACAACAUUUCCUUAUUAAUAUUAUUUAAUCAAUUAAUUAAUAUCUUAUUAUUAAUU
rnacentral:tRNA from 1 species